rnacentral:misc_RNA from 1 species
AAUUAAACAUGUAAUUUAGAAUAAAUUUUAAUCAUAUUUAGGAUGAAUUCAAAUUUUGAGAAUAUUAAUAAGUUCUGGUUUUGUAAUACCUAUCUAUUACCAUCCCUAUGCAGUUUUAGUGAUUUUAAAAUGCCACUAUUAUCGAGCAAGAAUGCACUUGAAAUCGUAAUAAAAUAUAAACCAGGAAUCUAAGAAAUUGAGUGCUACUUUAACGGAAAGAUAAUGCAAAGUACUUUGCUUUACAAAUUCCUUUUCAAAUAAAAAAAAAAAUUGAUGGAUUGCUACACAGCUUUUCUUUGCCUCCAAUUAGCCUGAUGAAGGGGAUAAAGAGAGUUUUUAAUAUAAAAUUUGAUGAAUAUGGGAAUGUAAUUCCUGAUAUGUUUUGCAUGGAGGGUUAAGUGAGGGAAAUAUAUGUUAUAUAUUCCUAUUUCCUAAGGUCAGAGCAAUGGAAUCUGUGAGUAAUUGACAAAAUGCAAUCUUGAUCUGUCACACUGCACUGCAUCGCAGCAAGGAUAUGUGCAUAUCAAUCAUUUUCCUGAAAAAGGAAGAGGAGACCUUGUCAUUUGCUUUCUAUUUUCCAAUAAAAAAAAAAAAAAGUAGAAGCACCAAUCUUUGAAAUGGCCACUGCCACUCACUGAUAUAAGAUUAGAUGUGGGAUCUGUCCAAACAUAGGAUAGGUUGCUUUAAGCUUGUUAUUAUCAACUGGCUGAGGCCCUUCCCUUGUAUGAAUAAUCAAUGAUGAAUCAGUCUUGUUAAUUUCAGGCCACGUUUUACAAACAAGUGUCUUUGCUAAAGUUCUCUGAAACAGACUUGUUGCUUUACCAUAUUUGGACAUGUAAAUAUUAACCACAUAUCUUGGUUACUUUUUAUGGAUAAGUUGGCCUUUACUAAUCAACAUUUUUCAUCCAUUACUGAGAUCUCCAUGCACAGGACUAGUUCAGUCCCAGCAAGAAAAUUUCAUGACACAACAUAUUUGGAGAUUGUUUGUCCUUUCAAGUUCCAAAUUUGCAGUCUUGCUUCAAUUCUCAUUGAUUUGAGAAGAUAUCCUGCUUUCCAACUAAUGCCGCCGUCAGCUACAGGGUCUAGUCCCAACGCCAUGUAAAUUUACAAGAAAGAAAAGAUAGGGUGAGUGGCAUUCUAACAAACUAUUUCGACACUCAAGUCAGCGAAUUGGAUGAGAAAGAAUGAAGAAAAAUUGUAAUGUGAUUAAAAAAAAAGAAUAUGCACACCUCAUUCCUAAUUAUCUGUUUGGUAUUUAUAGGCUUUUAAAAAAAUAGUAAUUGUUUCAUUUAUGGAGAUAAUCUCAAUUAAUAUACCGGGAUUGUCUUCAUGAAAUCCGGCUUGCUUCAUAACUAGCGUAAUUAUUACUUGGUAUCACUUUUCGCUCGACUUGUUGAGCGAGUGAAAGUACUUUUAUUUGAUCUGAUUUUAGUUUGAUUAUGCAUUGUUUGACUUGCUCGGUCUUGGACCAUAUGGGACAAUAAUUGACAUUUCUA